UACCAAAGAAUCCACUGCUUUCUGCAGUCCAUUUUUCUGAAUGAAACUACUAAUAUUACUUGACAGGAUUUGAUACGACUAAUGCAUGCACUACAUGGUGCUACUGCUGCUGCAUGCAAAUUUUGUGAACCUGACUAUUUUUGAAUCGAAGUAAAAGAUUUGCCCCACUCACUAAUUAAGAAGAUGAAGGAAUAGAUGGUUCAGCAUUUGGCUGGACCCAUAGCUCAUUAGAUUGUUUUACAUAAUGUUAUUUUAGAUCACAUGAGUGGUAGGCAACUACCUUCUCCACAGGGGGACUUCCUGGUGGUGAUGUUGAGCACCUUGGUG
rnacentral:lncRNA from 1 species